rnacentral:rRNA from 1 species
UACCAGCACCCCGAGUGGUCGGGACGUUUUAUUGGGCCUAAAGCAUCCGUAGCCGGUUCUACAAGUCUUCCGUUAAAUCCACCUGCUUAACAGAUGGGCUGCGGAAGAUACUAUAGAGCUAGGAGGCGGGAGAGGCAAGCGGUACUCGAUGGGUAGGGGUAAAAUCCGUUGAUCCAUUGAAGACCACCAGUGGCGAAGGCGGCUUGCCAGAACGCGCUCGACGGUGAGGGAUGAAGGCUGGGGGAGCAACCGG